rnacentral:misc_RNA from 1 species
GAUGAAGAACGCAGCGAAAUGCGAUAAGUAAUGUGAAUUGCAGAAUUCAGUGAAUCAUCGAGUCUUUGAACGCACAUUGCGCCCCUUGGUAUUCCGAGGGGCAUGCCUGUUCGAGCGUCAUUAUAACCCCUCAAGCUCAGCUUGGUGUUGGGGCCUGCUGCACUGGCAGCCCUUAAAAUCAGUGGCGGCGCCAUCUGGCUCUAAGCGUAGUAAUUCUUCUCGCUAUGGAGUCCUGGGGGAUGCUUGCCAUCAACCCCCAAUUUUUCUAUGGUUGACCUCGGAUCAGGUAGGGAUACCCGCUGAACUUAAGCAUAUCAAUAAGCGGAGGA